rnacentral:rRNA from 1 species
AGUAACGCGUGAGGAACCUGCCUCAAAGAGGGGGACAACAGUUGGAAACGACUGCUAAUACCGCAUAAGCCCACGGCUCGGCAUCGAGCAGAGGGAAAAGGAGCAAUCCGCUUUGAGAUGGCCUCGCGUCCGAUUAGCUAGUUGGUGAGGUAAUGGCCCACCAAGGCGACGAUCGGUAGCCGGACUGAGAGGUUGAACGGCCACAUUGGGGCUGAGACACGGCCCAG